rnacentral:rRNA from 1 species
UACGUAGGGUGCAAGCGUUGUCCGGAAUUAUUGGGCGUAAAGAGCUCGUAGGCGGUCUGUCGCGUCUGCUGUGAAAACUCGGGGCUUAACCCCGGGCCUGCAGUGGGUACGGGCAGACUAGAGUGCGGUAGGGGAGACUGGAAUUCCUGGUGUAGCGGUGAAAUGCGCAGAUAUCAGGAGGAACACCGGUGGCGAAGGCGGGUCUCUGGGCCGUAACUGACGCUGAGGAGCGAAAGCAUAGGGAGCGAACAGG